rnacentral:siRNA from 1 species
UUCAAUAAGUAAAUGCGAUAUGGU